AGAUGAGACAUAUUAAAAUGAGUAAUGCGUUGCAAAUAUCAAUACAAAAGCUCUACUUUCGUAUUAAUAUUUAUUCAAGCGCUUAUAUAAUUUGCCAUUUUCCAAUUUUAAAAUUGAAAGGAAUCAGGCAGCGACAUGAAUUCAAACAUGGAUAUCAAAAAUGUAUAUGAAGCCAAUGAGCAGACAUCAGAAUCUUCUAAUAAUACGACUAGUAAUUGUUUUGAAAACUUAGACAGCUGCAUGAAUAAUUCUUCUAGAAUAAUACAUCAAAUGGAACUAGCUCCUCCACUGAUAAUCUAGAGAAUAUUGAACCGCCUAUGGAGUGCGAUGUAUUGGCUCUGGCAUGUAUUGCCGAGGAACUUACUUUAGAGCCCGAA